UACGGGGGGGGCAAGCGUUGUUCGGAAUUACUGGGCGUAAAGGGUUUGUAGGGGGCCUGCUAAGUCAGACGUGAAAUCCCUCAGCUUAACUGGGGAACUGCGUCUGAUACUGGCGGGCUUGAGGACAGGAGAGGAACGCGGAAUUCCAGGUGUAGCGGUGAAAUGCGUAGAUAUCUGGAGGAACACCGGUGGCGAAGGCGGCGUUCUGGACUGUUUCUGACACUGAAAAACGAAAGCCAGGGGAGCAAACGGG
rnacentral:rRNA from 1 species